UUCACAGUCAUUUUUCCCAAGAGAAAAUAAUUGUGAGCUGGAGUGAAUUAAUGCUGCGAUGCUGCAUUGAACAGAGUUCAUUUUUGCAGAGGUGAAGAUUAUUUCAAGUUGAAGGAUCUGCAAGCUUGCAGAAAGCCAGCAUGAGAACUGAAAAUUAUUUUGAUUAAUUGAAAGAGCAGUCCACAAAAGCAACCACAGAAUAACAGAAUGGGUCAUGUUGGAAUGGAAUACAGUGGUUCAUCUGGUCCGACCUCCCUGGUCAAGCAGCUCAUUCCAGAAUGGCACAGAAUUCUGUCCAGACAGUUCUUGAAUAUAUCCAAUGAGGGAGACUCCACAACCUCUGUGGGCAACCUGUUCCAGUUGUCAAACACCCACACAGUAGGUAAAUUGUGGGUCUCAUUGUCAUAAAAUACUUUGGAAAUUAAAAGAUCAAAUGAGUUCCAAAAGUGAUGGAUUGAUGGAUAAAUGGAUGCAGAAAUGUCCAUUUGUAGCUCUAAAAUAUUAUGGCCUUUAGUGCAGGAAGCUCUUUGACUGAGAAGACAUAACAGGUAGGAUCAAUGUUAUGCUUUUCUUGGCAGUUUUGCAUUCUGGCUUCAGCUUUGAAUGUGGUUCUGGGUUGCACUGCCUUUCAGACAAGCACAAAAGGCCACAGGUUCUUAUGAAAUGCUUGUGACAUUCUACACAGAAGAACAGGUUCUUGCAGAUAUAGUAUAUGCCAAGCAGAGAAAGUGUCAGAAAUGUCAGAGAGAAAAUGGAAAGUAUCAAAUGGUGAAGUAAAGACAUGGAUUUGACAGAAUA